rnacentral:lncRNA from 1 species
AAUCAACACAGUGGAGGCGAGAAGUCUGGCCUUGCGCCGGCCGGGGAGCUUUUCGCCAAGGCUCCUGUGGGAUGGGAUAGCUUGUUCUCUGGGCUGCAGGAACCAAAACAUUAGACCACCCUUUCUGUGACCUUGGGCAUGCCGCCCUCGGUUCCGAGCCGCAAGUCUUUCUUUCGGGGAAAAUGAAAAGGGGUCAAGAUUUGGACCAGAUGACACCCAAUGUCCCAUUCAACGGUCGCAUUCUGUCAUCCACAGGAAUUAGUCCUGUAUCCGAAACAUUCUCUGGUAGUCAAAAGCUGUGAGCAAAUAAUAAGAAAAAAUGUGCAAAACGUUUUUUAGUACAGUUAGCAAAUAGUGUACUCAGUUGUUGAAGGAAAUGGGAUGAAGCCUAUCAGAUUUCAACAAACUUAUUUACCUCUUGAGAAAGCUGCUCUCUUUUCGGUUGUCCUUCUGUGUCUCUCUUUCAAAGAUCAAGUCUCACUGCGAUGCUGAUAUGUUUUUAACACUUCUCCAGCAUUUCUUAACCUAACAGCAGGUUUCAGGCACAGGCCUGCAGCAAGCAGCCAUAUCCAACUAAAAUUCCACUACUAUAUGUUUUUAUUUGCAUUACAUUUAUCAGGGAGCUUUCUAUUUAUGGCAAGGAAACUGAUUUUAAAUUUAAAUCAGUGAUAUACAUCAAGAGCUAGAUUUUGCAUUUUUAAGUGAAAAAGUAAGCUAUCAAAUAGAACAGGUGGAAUUUGGAUAUGGUGGGGCGGAGGGGUAGGCAGAGCAGGGGAGAGGAACAUCGUGAUAGUGGUACUCAAAUUACUAAGUUUUAGAAAACACUAUCACGGGGCCUUUCAGGAGCCUGGAGACAGAUGGAGGGGAAGACAGAAGAGAGAUUAAGGAGAAGAAUGGUUUCAUUUGGAAGGACACUGACUAAGGAAAAACAGAGAAAAGGAUGAAACCCAAGCCAACUCUGCAACUCUAUUAAAAACACCAAGACUUCAAUAUAAUCUCCUUAAAGGGAGGCAGUGCAUUCUUCAUGGCUAGAGCUUCAGCAGCUAUCUAGAACCAUAUGGUGGAAGCCACUUACUGAGAACUGUGAAACAAGAGCCUGGGUCCCUGACAUAUGAAGCCACCAUACCUACCUUAAAGUGUCUUUCACUUGAGGGAAAAAUACAUCUUUCUUAGAGAUUUGAAUUUUAAUGUCCCAGAAAUAUAAAGAAGAUGGCAUUAAAAUGUCCUAUAUGUUGGCAGUCCUACCCUGAAGACUUUUUUUGCUUAUCUUUUGUUCUGAGCUACAGUCUUCGCAGAGACUAAAUUAGUGACUGGACAACAGAAGAAAAUAGACCAUCCUGGCUAAAAUGGUGAAACCCCAUCUCUACUAAAAACACAAAAAAUUAGCUGGGCAUGUUAGCGGGUGCCUGUAGUCCCAGCUACUCGGGAGGCUGAGGCAAGAAAAUGGCGUGAACCUGGGAGGCGGAGCUUGCAGUGAGCUGAGAUCGCGCCACUGCACUCCAGCAUGGGGGAUAGAGCGAGACUCCGUCUCAAAAAAAAAAAAAAAAAAAAAAAAAAGAAAAUAGAAACGGGAAAUAUUCAUGUCAGCUGUUAAAAACCAGUUUUGUAAAGCAAGGCCUAAAAGUCCUAUCUCUGGCAUGUUUAGUAUUUGGCCAACUGGUUAGGUCUAGC